CCUACGGGUGGCAGCAGUCGAGAAUCAUUCACAAUGGGGGAAACCCUGAUGGUGCGACGCCGCGUGGGGGAAUGAAGGUCUUCGGAUUGUAAACCCCUGUCAUGUGGGAGCAAAUUAAAAAGAUAGUACCACAAGAGGAAGAGACGGCUAACUCUGUGCCAGCAGCCGCGGUAAUACAGAGGUCUCAAGCGGUGUUCGGAAUCACUGGGCGUAAAGGGUGCGUAGGCUGUUUCGUAAGUCGUGUGUGAAAGGCGCGGGCUCAACCCGCGGACGGCACAUGAUACUGCGAGACUAGAGUAAUGGAGGGGGAACCGGAAUUCUCGGUGUAGCAGUGAAAUGCGUAGAUAUCGAGAGGAACACUCGUGGCGAAGGCGGGUUCCUGGACAUUGACUGACGCUGAGGCACGAAGGUCAGGGGAGCGAAAGGGAUUAGAUACCCUGGUAGUC
rnacentral:rRNA from 1 species